rnacentral:rRNA from 1 species
AGCUUGUUGGUUGGUUUAGUAAUAAGUGUUUCCUGCCCGGUGUGGAUUAAACGGCCGCGGUAUUUUGACCGUGCAAAGGUAGCAUAAUCAUUUGUCCUUUGAUUGGGGACUGGAAUGAAUGGAAUUUUGAGGGCCAGACUGUCUCUUGCUUUGCUUAGAAUUUGCUGUUUUUGUGAAGAAGCGGAAUUUGCUGAAAAAGACAAGAAGACCCUAUUAAGCUUCACUUUUUGGUUUUUGUUUGUUUCUUUAUAGUAGUUGGUGAAAAGCGGGAAAGUUUGGUUGGGGUGACUAGAGGGGGUGUUAUCCUCUCUUUUGGAAUUAAUUUUUGGUUGGAUGUAGACCCAGGAUCUUCUGGUUGAAAGAAUUAGUUACUAUAGGGGUAACAGCGUAAUCCUUCCGGAGAGUUCUUAUUGAGGGGAGGGGUUGCGACCUCGAUGUUGACUUGCUUUUUCCUUUAUAGGGUGUAGGAGCUGUUAGGGUUGGUCUGUUCGACCAUUAAAAUUGC